rnacentral:rRNA from 14 species
UGUUGGGUUAAGUCCCGCAACGAGCGCAACCCUCGUUCUAUGUUGCCAGCGGUUCGGCCGGGGACUCAUAGGAGACUGCCGGGGUCAACUCGGAGGAAGGUGGGGAUGACGUCAAAUCAUCAUGCCCCUUAUGUCUUGGGCUUCACGCAUGCUACAAUGGCCGGUACAGUGAGUUGCGACAUCGCAAGGUGGAGCGAAUCUCAAAAAGCCGGUCUCAGUUCGGAUUGGGGUCUGCAACUCGACCCCAUGAAGUCGGAAUCGCUAGUAAUCGCGUAACAGCAUGACGCGGUGAAUACGUUCCCGGGCCUUGUACACACCGCCCG